GACGAACGCUGGCGGCGUGCCUAGUACAUGCAAGUCGAACGCUGAAGGAGGAGCUUGCUUCUCUGGAUGAGUUGCGAACGGGUGAGUAACGCGUAGGUAACCUGCCUGGUAGCGGGGGAUAACUAUUGGAAACGAUAGCUAAUACCGCAUAAUAGUAGAUGUUGCAUGACAUUUGCUUAAAAGGUGCAAUUGCAUCACUACCAGAUGGACCUGCGUUGUAUUAGCUAGUUGGUGAGGUAACGGCUCACCAAGGCGACGAUACAUAGUCGACCUGAGAGGGGGAUCGGCCACACUGGGAAUGAGACACGGCCCAGACUCCCACGGGAGGCAGCAGUAGGGAAUCUUCGGCAAUGGACGGAAGUCUGACCGAGCAACGCCGCGUGAGGGAAGAAGGUUUUCGGAUCGUAAAGAUCUGUUGUAAGAGAAGAACGAGUGUGGGAGUGGAAAGUUCACACUGUGACGGUAUCUUACCAGAAAGGGACGGCUAACUACGUG
rnacentral:rRNA from 1 species